GAUUAACGCUGGCGGCGUGCCUAACACAUGCAAGUCGAACGAUGAAACUUAAAUGAUUUCUUUGGAAUGUACUUAACUGGAUUAGUGGCGGACGGGUGAGUAACGCGUUAGUAACCUGCCUUACAUUAGGGGAUCGCCGUUUGAUACGACGUAUAAUACUUUAUGAAAUUAUUCCUUCGCAUGAAGCGUUAUUCAAAGUGUUAAUGGUGUAAGAUGCACUUGCGUCUGAUUAGCUAGUUGGUGAGAAAAAAGCCCACCAAGGCAACGAUCAGUAGCCGGCUUGAGAGAGUGUACGGGCACAUUGGGACUGAGGCACGGCCCAGACUCCUACGGGAGGCAGCAGUGGGGAAUUUUGCACAAUGGGGGAAACCCUGAUGCAGCGACGCCGCGUGAUUUAGAAGGCAUUCGGGUUGUAAAAAGCUUUUGUAUAGGAAGAAAAUGACAGUACUAUACGAAUAAGGUCCGGCUAAUUACGUG
rnacentral:rRNA from 1 species